rnacentral:rRNA from 1 species
GAAAGAGAUGAGCAUGCGUUCUAUUAGCUAGUAGGUGUGGUAACGGCACACCUAGGCGACGAUAGAUAGGGGUCCUGAGAGGGAGAUCCCCCACACUGGUACUGAGACACGGACCAGACUCCUACGGGAGGCAGCAGUGAGGAAUAUUGGUCAAUGGACGCAAGUCUGAACCAGCCAUGCCGCGUGCAGGAAGACUGCCCUAUGGGUUGUAAACUGCUUUUAAACGGGAAGAAACCCCCCAACGUGUUGGGGGCUGACGGUACCGUAAGAAUAAGGAUCGGCUAACUCCGUGCCAGCAGCCGCGGUAAUACGGAGGAUCCGAGCGUUAUCCGGAAUCAUUGGGUUUAAAGGGUCCGUAGGCGGCUAUAUAAGUCAGUGGUGAAAUCUGUUAGCUCAACUAACAAAUUGCCAUUGAUACUGUAUAGCUUGAAUAAUUGUGAAGUAGCUAGAAUAUGUAGUGUAGCG